rnacentral:rRNA from 1 species
UACGGAGGGUGCGAGCGUUAUCCGGAUUCACUGGGUUUAAAGGGUGCGUAGGUGGGUUUGUAAGUCAGUGGUGAAAUCUCCGUGCUUAACAUGGAAACUGCCAUUGAUACUACAGGUCUUGAAUUUUCCGGAGGUCAGCGGAAUAUGUCAUGUAGCGGUGAAAUGCUUAGAUAUGACAUAGAACACCGAUUGCGAAGGCAGCUGGCUACAGGGAUAUUGACACUGAGGCACGAAAGCGUGGGGAUCAAACAGG